rnacentral:rRNA from 1 species
AGUGAACGCUGGCGGUAGGCCUAACACAUGCAAGUCGAACGGCAGCACAGUAAGAGCUUGCUCUUACGGGUGGCGAGUGGCGGACGGGUGAGGAAUACAUCGGAAUCUACUUUUUCGUGGGGGAUAACGUAGGGAAACUUACGCUAAUACCGCAUACGACCUACGGGUGAAAGCAGGGGAUCUUCGGACCUUUCGCGAUUGAAUGAGCCGAUGUCGGAUUAGCUAGUUGGCGAGGUAAAGGCCCACCAAGGCGACGAUCCGUAGCUGGUCUGAGAGGAUGAUCAGCCACACUGGAACUGAGACACGGUCCAGACUCCUACGGGAGGCAGCAGUGGGGAAUAUUGGACAAUGGGCGCAAGCCUGAUCCAGCCAUACCGCGUGAGUGAAGAAGGCCUUCGGGUUGUAAAGCCCUUUUGUUGGGAAAGAAAAGCAGCAGGUUAAUACCCCGCUGUUCUGACGGUACCCAAAGAAUAAGCACCGGCUAACUUCGUG